rnacentral:rRNA from 1 species
GAUGAACGCUAGCGGCAGGCCUAAUACAUGCAAGUCGAGCGGCAGUUGGGGUAGUAAUACAACAAUGAGAGCGGCGCACGGGUGCGUAACGCGUAUGCAACCUACCUCAUACAGGGGGAUAGCCCGGAGAAAUCUGGAUUAAUACCCCCAUAGUACAUAGAGAUGGCAUCUGAACUAUGUUAAAGAUUUAUCGGUAUGAGAUGGGCAUGCGUCUGAUUAGCUAGUUGGCGGUGUAACGGACCACCAAGGCGACGAUCAGUAGGGGUUCUGAGGGGAAGGUCCCCCGACACUGGCACUGAGAUACGGGCCAGACUCCUACGGGAGGCAGCAGUAGGGAAUAUUGGGCAAUGGUCGGAAGACUGACCAGCCAUGCCGCGUGCAGGAAGACGGCCCUAUUGGGUUGUAAACUGCUUUUAUCUGGGAACGAAAAGUCCAUGCGUGAAAACUUGCCGGUACCAGAUGAAUAAGCACCGGCUAACUCCGU